rnacentral:lncRNA from 1 species
CAAAAUCCUGUCCAUGUCCACAAAAAGAUACUGCUGGGAUUUUGAUAGGGAUGGUGUGAAAUGUACAGAUCACUUUGGGGAGUACUGGCAUCUCCUAAUCCAUGAACACACUGUCUUUCCAUUGAAGUCUUCCUUGGUUUCUUUCAUCACCUUUCUUCUUUGUUAAUAUGUGCAUUUAGUGUUAUAAAUACCACCCCCCAGCACUGCCUCCUACAAAUUUUGUUACAUUGUAUUUUUCAUUU